rnacentral:rRNA from 1 species
UACGGGGGGGGCAAGCGUUGUUCGGAAUUACUGGGCGUAAAGGGCUUGUAGGUGGCCAACUAAGUCAGACGUGAAAUCCCUCGGCUUAACCGGGGAACUGCGUCUGAUACUGGAAGGCUUGAGUGCGGGAGAGGGAUGUGGAAUUCCAGGUGUAGCGGUGAAAUGCGUAGAUAUCUGGAGGAACACCGGUGGCGAAGGCGGCAUCCUGGACCGACACUGACGCUGAGGCGCGAAAGCUAGGGGAGCAAACGGG